ensembl:lncRNA
AAGCAAAGUAGCGUUUGUUCUCGUGGCGGCAUGCACGAGCUCCGGUGGGAAAAGGCAGGUUGAUGGUGAAGCUGUUUUAAAGUAACUAGAUGGUGAGAGUUUUAUUGGUGUUGGAAUAACUAAAGUGGACUACGGGGACGUGUUAUCUGAUGAGCCAGCUGCCUCUGUAUGUGAAGUCACAAUUUGAACAGUGAGUUUGGGAGCUUCAGGAGCCCGCUGUGUGUGGGAGCUUCAGGAGCCCGCUGUGGGUGGGAGCUUCAGGAGCCCGCUGUGUGUGUGGGAGCUUCAGGAGCCCGCUGUGUGUGGGAGCUUCAGGUGCCCGCUGUGUGUGGGAGCUUCAGGAGCCCGCUGUGGGUGGGAGCUUCAGGAGCCCGCUGUGUGUGGGAGCUUCAGGAGCCCGCUGUGGGUGGGCGCUUCAGGAGCCCGCUGUGGGUGGGAGCUUCAGGAGCCCGCUGUGGGUGGGAGCUUCAGGAGCCCGCUGUGUGUGUGGGAGCUUCAGGAGCCCGCUGUGUGUGUGGGCGAGCUUCAGGAGCCCGCUGUGUGUGGGAGCUUCAGGAGCCCGCUGUGGGUGGGAGCUUCAGGAGCCCGCUGUGUGUGUGUGGGAGCUUCAGGAGCCCGCUGUAAGUGGGAGCUUCAGGAGCCCGCUGUGGGUGGGAGCUUCAGGAGCCCGCUGUGGGUGGGCGCUUCAGGAGCCCGCUGUGGGUGGGCGCUUCAGGAGCCCGCUGUGGGUGGGCGCUUCAGGAGCCCGCUGUGGGUGGGCGCUUCAGGAGCCCGCUGUGGGUGUGCGUGCAGAUGCUAAUGGGAUUGACCCAGACCAGCCAGUGAUAAACAGCCACUGUUUUGUCCUCCUUGUUUUCUGGUUAUGAUCUCUGCUUGGUUUGCCAAGGGGCAGGUUGCUCCCUUGAGAGUAGGUUCUCCCCAUUUAUUUUUGCUGUGUCACUGUGUGGAGUGUUUGAGUGCAUUUGCUUUAUUGUAUUUGGGAUUUAUUUAUUGAUGUACUUAUUUAUUUUGGAUUUAGUUUUGGGUUUUGUGUAUUUUCUGUUAUACUUGUGGGUUGAACACCUGGCCUUGGGAAAUAAUUGCUCGAUAUUUACUGCCACCGUAAUUUCAAAUAUCCAGCAAUCCAUUGGUAACAGCCUUGUUGUGGGUUCAGAUUUUGUAUGUGUGGGAGAAUUGCCAGAGUAAUCUUUUUUUAUUGUUUAUGGUGGAGUGUCUUGGAAAAAUUAGCUGCUUUAGCAGUUUGGCCCUGUAACUUCCUGUUAAUAAAAUGUUCCUUUUCUAAAUGUUAUUGGUUGUGACCGCAUUGUUGAUUAUUCUCAUUUAUUAAUAAAUUUUCUACGCUUCAGCCUCAAACCGUUUCUGUGUGCCUUAUGAAGGUUGAGUUGAUUACUAAAAGAGUAAUUAAAUAAGGUAACCAGGGGUCACAAGUGUAAAAGUUUGAGCUUUUUAUGUAUUAUAAUUGUUUAUAUUGUUUUUUUUAUUUUGUGAAGGAUAGAGUUUAUAUUUUUAUCUUAUUUUUUUUUUACUUUUAUUAUAAUAUAUAUUGUUUAUAUAGUAACAAGUAACAAACUGGAAAAGCCUUGUUCAGCAAGUAAUCUUAUUUUAUCUGUGUAGCGCCCCUUUCCCUCUACGGUGAAUACUUAUGUAUGUGUUUACGAGAUAAGUACGGGGGCUUGGGUUCCAGUAGUAAAUGCCAAAUUUGUAAAACUCUUUAGUAUUGACUGGAUUAUGUUGCUAGGUAACCAAUAGUACUUAGUGAAUUAAAUAGACUGUAAACAAAGCAAUAUCACCCGUUUUAGCUUGAUUCAAACUGUAAUUCAGUUUAUUGCUGCUUAUUUUCUCUCUCUGGAUUAAUUCUUUGCAAGGUUAUCAGUUUAAAUACUUCUUGUCCCCUUUCUGGUUCUGUUUAACAACGUAGGACAAGUGGAGCAAUUAUGUAAACAAUGUACAAUUCACCAUAAACACUUAACCAUACUCCCAAGAUGAACAAAAUGCACACCUUCACCUUUGUGCAGUAAUAACUAAAUGAAACAAAUCAUUUGUUUUCAUAUAUCUAGCAUGCAGUGCAUAUGCUUAUGGCGGCUAAAACCCAAUGUACCCAAUGAACCGGUUGCAGGCCUGUUUCGUGGCUCGGGUGCGUGGUGGCCUUAAAACAGUAAACACACUGGCCGCUUCACUCCGUAGAGCCAACAAAAUGAAAUAAAAGGGUGACGUAUCGAGCUUUAAGUUAUCUUGGUUCAGUAGUUCGGAAGGAAGGUUCGUUACUCACGCCCGGGGCUCCGACCCCGCGGGAAGUUGCUUGGGCUGUUGAAGGUUCAACCGGCCAGGAUUAACGAACGGCUCCGACCCCCUCCUCUCAGUGUGGGACGGCUCUCCCGUUGCAGUGAUAACAGUCCCUCGUUAACGGCAGAGGAUACUGGAUACGGACGAACGUCUGACUGUUUUAGUCAACUUCGAUGCUAGUCAGACUACACUGUAGCUGUACUGGACACGCUAGCCUACAACUGGAAGCUGAGCUACUCACGGGCAAAACAUACGGCAGUUCGGUGCUGCUUAAAUGCCGUCUAACCGACCGCGUUUGGCAGAUAAAGUCACCCACUCACACAGGGCUAUCGCACCGACAACCUAGGGCAGGUAAUGAACUUAUUUUUCUCCAAAAACCUUGGAAAAUGUCGUUUGUAGUGCCGUCGCUGCUCCACACACACGCCCUCUCGGUCUCCCAGUCUCUCCCUCGUUCGUGUUUUUUUUCUCUCUUUCCCGCCCCCUCCCACCGAACCAAUCACUAAAGGCUCGUACAGGUUAACUAUUGAUCUGUCAAAUCGCGUGAGGCACAGAGGGUUACUGACAGGCAAGGUAAACUUGGUUGCACUGCGCACAUGGCAAACUAGUACCUUCCAAUCUAACUUUAAGAAAACCGGAAAUGUCAACUUUUAUAAACUAUAAACCCAACUAUUGUAUAAUUAUUUAUUUAUCAAACUUAUGUACCAGAACUUAUCACUUAAUUCCUUUUAAAGGGCUACAUCUGUCCUGAGUUUUGGAACCAAGAUGAUUGUGUCAGUUCCUUACACUUCAAAUGGGAAUGACAGUGAACUCUGAAAUUUCUGGAAUCUCUAGGAAUUGCACUAGUUAAUAACUUGUUUGCAUGAUCACCAAAUGUCAUAUCAAACUCUGCAUCCACAAGCAUCACCAGCAGUGUCUGUCUGUGAUGAUGACGACACAGCUUCCUGUUUUUCUCUUGUAGAAAUGUGACCUUACCAUAUUGUCGCAGAGCAGUCUGUAUCAGGCUUAAAGCUGAUCUCAGCACUGCAGGACCCGUUUAGAUUCCAUGUUGGCAGUU